rnacentral:piRNA from 1 species
ACGACAUGAAUAUGUUGACUGGGUAC